UACGUAGGGUGCAAGCGUUGUCCGGAAUUAUUGGGCGUAAAGAGCUCGUAGGCGGUCUGUCGCGUCGGCUGUGAAAACCCGGAGCUCAACUCCGGGCCUGCAGUCGAUACGGGCAGACUGGAGUUCGGCAGGGGAGACUGGAAUUCCUGGUGUAGCGGUGAAAUGCGCAGAUAUCAGGAGGAACACCGAUGGCGAAGGCAGGUCUCUGGGCCGAUACUGCGUGAGGAGCGAAAGCGUGGGGGAGCGAACAGG
rnacentral:rRNA from 1 species